UACGUAGGGUGCAAGCGUUGUCCGGAAUUAUUGGGCGUAAAGAGCUCGUAGGCGGUUUGUCACGUCGGAUGUGAAAACCCGGGGCUUAACCCCGGGCCUGCAUUCGAUACGGGCUGACUAGAGUUCGGCAGGGGAGACUGGAAUUCCUGGUGUAGCGGUGAAAUGCGCAGAUAUCAGGAGGAACACCGGUGGCGAAGGCGGGUCUCUGGGCCGAUACUGACGCUGAGGAGCGAAAGCGUGGGGAGCGAGCAGG
rnacentral:rRNA from 1 species